UUCAAGUAGGGUGAUGGCGUUCCACCUAAUUAACCGCCUUUCGGAAGGACGAUGACGCCUACAGGUUG
rnacentral:ncRNA from 1 species